GUCUUUCUUGUGCUAUUAAAUUCAAUGCAACCCAUCAGUGAUGUUUUCCCCAAGAAUUUUCUGUGCGUUGAGUUUUUUUCUUCUUAUCGUGAUGGUUUCUUGUGUUGAUCAACAUAAUAUCAAAGAACGGAGCUUUGCUCAAUAUCCAGGAGAUAAUAUCUACACAUCACGCGGCCGUAGAACGGAAGUAAUUCAAACAUACGGAUCAGGAGGAACAACUGUCAUACAAUCAAAUAAUAAUCCAAUGCGACGCCCAUCUACCGUUGUUGUUACCUGAGCCAACAACAUCAAGAACUAUAUCUUAAAAAUCAAAUAAAAUUAUAAUCAUAUGAAUAUAGCAUGAACUGUGACAUUUUAACGUAUUGCAUGUGGAGUUGAAAAAUAAAUUAUUCAUGAAAUUA